CCAGCAGCUGCGGUAAUUCCAGCUCCACUAGCGUAUAUUAAAGUUGUUGCAGUUAAAAAGCUCGUAGUUGAACCUCUGUGUGUGUCUAGUCGGGCUUCGGUUUGGCUAGAUAUAUACAUCCGCCUGCAAGAUCUGGAGGGCAUUCAUUUGUCGCCAGAAGGAGUAGGCAAUUUACUUUGAAAAAAUUAGAGUGUUUCAAGCAGGCGAUCGCCCGCAUAUAUUAGCAUGGAAUAAUAGAAUAGGACACUUUUCCAUUUCAUUGGUUAUUGGAAUCGUGUAAUGAUUAAUAGGGACAGUUGUGGGCAUUUGUAUUUAAUUGUCAGAGGUGAAAUUCUUGGAUUUAUUAAAGACAAACUAACGCGAAAGCAUUUGCCAAGGAUGUUUUCAUUAAUCAAGAACGAAAGU
rnacentral:rRNA from 1 species